AGAAGACUAGUACAUACUUUCAUACAGUGAAACCGCGAAUGGCUCAUUAAAUCAGCUAUGGUUCCUUUGAUCAUACCUACUACAUGGAUAACUGUAGUAAUUCUAGAGCUAAUACAUGCCACUAUGCCCUGACCCGCAAGGGAACGGGUGGAUUUAUUAGAACUGAACCAACCGGCGGUGCCUUCGGGCGCUGCUGUUGCACUCUGUGAUGACUCUGGAUAACUUCAUUGAUCGCAGUCGGUCUUGCAUCGGCGACGGAUCAUUCAAAUGUCUGCCCUAUCAAUUGUCGAUGGUAGGUGACCUGCCUACCAUGGUGAUAACGGGUAACGGGGAAUCAGGGUUCGAUUCCGGAGAGGGAGCCUGAGAAACGGCUACCACAUCCAAGGAAGGCAGCAGGCACGCAAAUUACCCAAUCCCAGAACGGGGAGGUAGUGACGAAAAAUACGGAUACGGGACUCACAUGAGGCUCCGUAAUUCGAAUGAGUACACUUUAAAUCCUUUAACGAGGAUCAACUGGAGGGCAAGUCUGGUGCCAGCAGCCGCGGUAACUCCAGCUCCAGAAGCGUAUAUUAAAGUUGUUGCAGUUAAAAAGCUCGUAGUUGGAUCUGGGUGGCAUGACUGCUGACCGUUGCCUGACGGCUCGGUUUAUUGUAUAGACCGGGUUGGUUGGGUCGGUCUUGUGGUUGUGCAGCCUUUCUGCCGUGUCUGUUUCGACAGGUGUUGAUCGGGUUGAUGGGUUCGUCCUGUUGGCCCGUUGACAUGUUUCCAGGUGCCUUUAAUCGGGUGUCUGGGGCGGACGGCAUGUUUACUUUGAACAAAUUUGAGUGCUCAAAGCAGGCCCCUGUGCCUGAAAAGUCUUGCAUGGAAUAAUGGAAUAGGACUUCGGUUCUAUUUUGUUGGUUUUCGGAUCCGAAGUAAUGGUUAAGAGGGACAGACGGGGGCAUUUGUAUGGCGGCGUUAGAGGUGAAAUUCUUGGAUCGUCGCCAGACAAACUACAGCGAAAGCAUUUGCCAAGGAUGUUUUCAUUGAUCUGGAGCGAAAGUCAAAGGUUCGAAGACGAUCAGAUACCGUCCUAGUUCUGACCAUAAACGAUGCCAACUGACGAUCCGUGCUGGUUCUAUUAUUGGCCGCGCGGGCAGUCCCCGGGAAACCCUUAAGUCUUUGGGCUCCGGGGGAAAAAUGGUUGCAAACUGA
rnacentral:rRNA from 1 species